rnacentral:rRNA from 1 species
AGAGUUUGAUCCUGGCUCAGAACGUACGCUGGCGGCACGCCUUAUACAUGCAAGUCGAACGAAGUAGCAAUACUUAGUGGCAGACGGGUGAGUAACAUGUAGGUAUCUGCCCUUUGGCCUGGAAUAACACGAGGAAACUUGUGCUAAUACUGGAUAAGUCUUUACGGAGAAAGCUUUAUGCACCAUUGGAUGAGCCUGCACUUGAUUAGUUUGUUGGUGGGGUAAUGGCCUACCAAGACAAUGAUCAAUAGCUGAUUUGAGAGGAUGAUCAGCCACAUUGGAACUGAGACACGGUCCAAACUCCUACGGGAGGCAGCAGUAGGGAAUCUUGCACAAUGGAGGAAACUCUGAUGCAGCGAUGCCGCGUGAGUGAAGAAGGCCUUUGGGUUGUAAAGCUCUUUCGUCGGGGAAGAAAAUGACUGUACCCGAAUAAGAAGGUCCGGCUAACUUCGUGCCAGCAGCCGCGGUAAUACGAAGGGACCUAGCGUAGUUCGGAAUUACUGGGCUUAAAGAGUUCGUAGGUGGUUAAAAAAGUUGGUGGUGAAAUCCCAGAGCUUAACUCUGGAACUGCCAUCAAAACUUUUUAGCUAGAGUAUGAUAGAGGAAAGCAGAAUUUCUAGUGUAGAGGUGAAAUUCGUAGAUAUUAGAAAGAAUACCGAUUGCGAAGGCAGCUUUCUGGAUCAUUACUGACACUGAGGAACGAAAGCAUGGGUAGCGAAGAGGAUUAGAUACCCUCGUAGUCCAUGCCGUAAACGAUGUGUGUUAGACGUUGGAAAUUUAUUUUCAGUGUCGCAGCGAAAGCAAUAAACACACCGCCUGGGGAGUACGACCGCAAGGUUAAAACUCAAAUGAAUUGACGGGGACCCGCACAAGUAGUGGAGCAUGUGGUUUAAUUCGAAGAUACGCGCAGAACCUUACCAACACUUGACAUGUUCGUCGCGACUUUAAGAGAUUAGAGUCUUCGGUUCGGCCGGACAAAACACAGGUGCUGCAUGGCUGUCGUCAGCUCGUGUCGUGAGAUGUUGGGUUAAGUCCCGCAACGAGCGCAACCCCUAUUUUUAGUUGCUACCAUUUAGUUGGGCACUCUAAAAAAACUGCCAGUGAUAAGCUGGAGGAAGGCGGGGAUGACGUCAAGUCCUCAUGGCCCUUACGUGUUGGGCUACACACGUGCUACAAUGGUACUUACAGUGAGAAGCAAAGAGGCGACUCUAAGCCAAUCCCAAAAAGGUACCUCAGUUCGGAUUGUACUCUGCAACUCGAGUACAUGAAGCUGGAAUUACUAGUAAUCGCGGAUCAGCGCGCCGCGGUGAAUACGUUCCCGGGUCUUGUACACACCGCCCGUCACACCAUGGAAGUUGGUUACACCUUAAGGCAAAGCUUAAAACCUUUGACUACGGUACGAUCAGCGACUGGGGUGAAGUCGUAACAAGGUAACC